rnacentral:rRNA from 1 species
CCAAGGAGUCUAGCAUGUGCGCAAGUCACUGGGACUUGCUAAACCCAGAGGCGCAGUGAAAGCGUGGGGCGCGCCCGGUACGCCGGGCCGCCGCUAAGGGAGGACGGUCGGUCGCUCCAGACCGGGGCGGCCGGCAAGCACUCCCGGGGCGCCUCGGCCCAGGCCGCAGGCGCACCCGGAGCGCACACGUUGGGACCCGAAAGAUGGUGAACUAUGCCCGGCCAGGACGAAGUCAGGGGAAACCCUGAUGGAGGUCCGCAGCGAUUCUGACGUGCAAAUCGAUCGUCAGAGCUGGGUAUAGGGGCGAAAGACUAAUCGAACCAUCUAGUAGCUGGUUCCCUCCGAAGUUUCCCUCAGGAUAGCUGGCGCCGAGUUGGAAAGGGAACAGUCUCAUCCGGUAAAGCGAAUGAUUAGAGGCCUUGGGGCCGAAACGACCUCAACCUAUUCUCAAACUUUAAAUGGGUGAGAUCUCCGGCUUGCUUGAGCGAAGCCGCGAGAAGAGAGCUUGCUCUCCCUUGGAUGAUGGUGCCAAGUGGGCCAAUUUUGGUAAGCAGAACUGGCGCUGUGGGAUGAACCAAACGCCGGGUUAAGGCGCCUAAACCGGAGCUCAUGGGAGACCAUGAAAGGCGUUGGUUGCUUAAGACAGCAGGACGGUGGCCAUGGAAGUCGGAAUCCGCUAAGGAGUGUGUAACAACUCACCUGCCGAAGCAACUAGCCCUGAAAAUGGAUGGCGCUAAAGCUCCGUGCCUAUACCCGGCCGCCGGAAGGCAGGGCCGUUACGCUGAAGCCCCGGCGAGUAGGAGGGCGCGGCGGUGUGCGCGGAAGGGUCCGGGCGUGAGCCCGCCUGGAGCCGCCGCCGGUGCAGAUCUUGGUGGUAGUAGCAAAUACUCAAGCGAGGGCCUUGAGGGCUGAUGCGGAGAAGGGUUUCGUGUGAACAGCCGUUGCACACGAGUCAGUCGAUCCUAAGCCCUAGGAGAAAUCCGAUGCCGAUGCGGCGGGGUGGCUCCCCGCCCGUCGAGGGCGAAAGGGAAUCCGGUUCCUAUUCCGGAACCCGGCAGCGGAACCGAACCGUCGGGCCCUCGCAAGAGAAGCUCGUCGGGGUAACCCAAAGGGACCCGGAGACGCCGUCGGGAGACCCGGGCAGAGUUUUCUGUUCUGCAUAAGCGUUCGAGUUCCCUGGAAUCCUCUAGCAGGGAGAUAGGGUUUGGAACGCGAAGAGCACCGCAGUUGCGGCGGUGUCCGGGUCGUCCCCUCGGACCUUGAAAAUCCGGGAGAGGGCUACGCGGAGGUGUCGCGCCGGCUCGUACCCAUAUCCGCAGCAGGUCUCCAAGGUGAGGAGCCUCUAGUC